GACGAACGCUGGCGGCGUGCUUAACACAUGCAAGUCGAGCGGUAAGGCCCUUCGGGUACACGAGCGGCGAACGGGUGAGUAACACGUGGGUGACCUGCCUCUAGCUCUGGGAUAAGCCUGGGAAACUGGGUCUAAUACCGGAUAUGACUCCACGGCGCAUGUUGUGGGGUGGAAAGCCUUGUGUGGCUAGAGAUGGGCCCGCGGCCUAUCAGCUUGUUGGUGGGGUGAUGGCCUACCAAGGCGACGACGGGUAGCCGGCCUGAGAGGGCGACCGGCCACACUGGGACUGAGACACGGCCCAGACUCCUACGGGAGGCAGCAGUGGGGAAUCUUGCGCAAUGGGCGAAAGCCUGACGCAGCGACGCCGCGUGAGGGAUGACGGCCUGGUGUAAC
rnacentral:rRNA from 1 species